rnacentral:rRNA from 1 species
UACGAAGGGUGCAAGCGUUACUCGGAAUUACUGGGCGUAAAGCGUGCGUAGGUGGUUUGUUAAGUCUGUUGUGAAAGCCCGGGCUCAACCUGGGAAUGGCAAUGGAUACUGGCAAGCUAGAGUGCGGUAGAGGGUAGUGGAAUUCCGGUGUAGCGGUGAAAUGCGUAGAGAUCGGGAGGAACACCUGUGGCGAAAGCGGCUCACUGGACCAUAACUGACGCUGAGGCACGAAGCUAGGGAGCAACAGG